rnacentral:rRNA from 1 species
CCUACGGGCGGCAGCAGUGGGGAAUAUUGCACAAUGGGCGCAAGCCUGAUGCAGCCAUGCCGCGUGUGUGAAGAAGGCCUUCGGGUUGUAAAGCACUUUCAGCGGGGAGGAAGGCGGUGAGGUUAAUAACCUCAUCGAUUGACGUUACCCGCAGAAGAAGCACCGGCUAACUCCGUGCCAGCAGCCGCGGUAAUACGGAGGGUGCAAGCGUUAAUCGGAAUUACUGGGCGUAAAGCGCACGCAGGCGGUCUGUCAAGUCGGAUGUGAAAUCCCCGGGCUCAACCUGGGAACUGCAUUCGAAACUGGCGGGCUAGAGUCGUGUAGAGGGGGGUAGAAUUCCAGGUGUAGCGGUGAAAUGCGUAGAGAUCUGGAGGAAUACCGGGGGCGAAGGCGGCCCCCUGGACAAAGACUGACGCUCAGGUGCGAAAGCGUGGGGAGCAAACAGGAUUAGAUACCCGGGUAGUC